rnacentral:rRNA from 3 species
AAAUUGAAGAGUUUGAUCAUGGCUCAGAUUGAACGCUGGCGGCAGGCCUAACACAUGCAAGUCGAACGGUAACAGGAAU